rnacentral:rRNA from 1 species
GACGAACGCUGGCGGCGUGCCUAAUACAUGCAAGUCGAACGCAGUGGGGACGGGUGAGUAACACGUGGGUAACCUCCCAUCAGAGGGGAUAACACUUGGACACAGGUGCUAAACCGAUACUGAUGGAUGGACCCGCGGUGCAUUCGCUAGGUGGUGGGGGAACGGCUCACCAAGGCCACGAUGCAGAGCCGACCGGAGAGGAGGAUCAGCCACACGUGAACUGAGACACGGUCCAGACUCCUACGUGAGGCAGCAGUGGGGAAUGUGGGACAAGGGGCGAAAGCCUGAUCCAGCCAUGCCGCGUGUGUGAAGAAGGUCUUCGGAUUGUAAAGCACUUUAAGUUGGGAGGCGUUACCAACAGAAUAAGCACCGGCUAACUUCGUGCCAGCAGCCGCGGUAAUAC